rnacentral:rRNA from 1 species
AGAGUUUGAUCAUGGCUCAGAUUGAACGCUGGCGGCAUGCUUAAUACAUGCAAGUCGAACGGUAACAUGCCCUCCGGGGUGAUGACGAGUGGCGGACGGGUGAGUAACGCAUAGGAAUCUACCUAGUAGUGGGGGACAACUUGGGGAAACUCAAGCUAAUACCGCAUACAUCCUACGGGAAAAAGAGGGCCUCUUCUUGAAAGCUCUUGCUAUUAGAUGAGCCUAUGUCAGAUUAGCUUGUUGGUGGGGUAACGGCCUACCAAGGCGACGGUCUGUAGCUGGUCUGAGAGGAUGAUCAGCCACACUGGGACUGAGACACGGCCCAGACUCCUACGGGAGGCAGCAGUAGGGAAUAUUGGACAAUGGGCGCAAGCCUGAUCCAGCAAUGCCGCGUGUGUGAAGAGGGCCUGCGGGUUGUAAAGCACUUUCAAUUAGGAAGAAAGGCUCAAGGUUAAUAACCUUGAGUCUUGACAUUAUCAAUAGAAGAAGCACCGGCUAACUCUGUGCCAGCAGCCGCGGUAAUACAGAGGGU